rnacentral:lncRNA from 1 species
CCUGUAGCAGCUUUUUUGUGUCGAGAAAACUUGUGUUCCAUUUAUAUAUCACAUGAUACAAAUGCUCCAGCAUUGGCAGAGUGGACUAUGUCCACUACUCGCAGCCUCGCACUCAGCAACAUUACACCAGCUUUAGCUAAGAGAUGAGCACACGUAUUUGCUACUCUGCAUCAAAUAACUCCACCUGAAUAUUACUCGUACACAUCUCCCUAAUUUCCUGAACAGAAGGGCCAACAUGAUAUCUAUUUAACCCAUUACACUAAUUGUUUACUACCUCCGCAUAGUCCUGCUUGAUAAUUACAUUGUUCAACUCUUGAUUCAAUACUCUGAAGACAAAUACACCAAAAAUAUAAUUUUUACACACACCAUGAUAGCAUCAUAUCCAUCCCCACACACAUCACACUAACAUCAGACCCAAACAUAAGAGAGAGGAGAUGAGACAGCGAGGCCAACACAUGGGAGCAGUGUUGCUGCACCGAUAUGCCGAGGGUCGCCGCUGCCAGCAGGGGCAGGAGGGCAGGGAUGCUGCUGUGGCCUCAAGGCGAUGCAGAUGCGGAUGGGUACGUCGUGGGCUCGUGGUAGACCGACGAUGGCAACCGACACAGGCAGUUGCCAGGUGGAUGUGGGUGGCGUGGACAUCUACAGGAGCACAACGGGCAAAGAUCAGAGGCGAUGUCAGUCUGUGUGUAUCAUGAAAGUCUGCAUAAUAUAGUUUGACAAUAGAAAAGGAACACACAAAGAUUAUACCAACAAUCUUAUCCAACAUAUAAACAAAGAUCUUGAUUCUACUUCCUAUAACAUAGGGAGCGCAGAAAUUGUAAUUUUGAUCCCAGUUUUACAUUUUAAUUUAGGGGCUCAGACAUCCAAGCUCUAGAUCAGUACAUAUCCAAGCUCUAGAGUAAAUCAUACAAUUAAGUUUUGCAUGGGAAUUUUGGGCCGUGUGCAGCAUAACCGAAACAGACACAAUAUAUGAUUGCAGUUAAACUUAUCAAUGAAUUUCAGUUGCAUCUCUUUGAGUCGCUGACUAAUAGUGUGCCAUUAUUCUUAGAUAAAUUACCAUUUUGCCUCCAUGAACAGAAACAUCAUCAAGGAAAACACAGGACACAAUAACAAUUCCUAUUUAUGAAAGAAGAAAGAAUGGCACAAAAGCUAAAACAACAAACUUGGUCUCAUACUAUGGAUAUUACAAAAAAAUUGUUUCAAUUAUUAAAUACCAAGACACAAAUUAGAAUUAGAUGACUUUGCAAACCUGGAUACAUCUAGAAAGGAUAACUAAAAUUUACAAACGCUAUAGUCGAUCUGAAUAACAUACAUGUUCCCAAUGGUCUCCCAUCAAAAUUAGCUAAUUUGGUCGGCGUUUGCUGAAUAUCUUGCGCGGCCAUCCAAAUCACCCUCUUUUCCAUUACUUCCUUUGUACCACCAACUCAAAAUUCCCCUUUUGCUAUAAUUACCACGCAUUCUUACAAACAAAUGUGUUAAUGGGAUGCCC